AGCGGGUCCUGUUUUACCAAAAACAUGGCUUCGUGUCAGCUUAAAAUACGAAGUCGGACCUGCCCAGUGAGUUUUAAACGGCCGCGGUACUCUGACCGUGCAAAGGUAGCAUAAUCAUUUGCCUUAUAAUUGAAGGCUGGAAUGAAUGGUUUGACAAGAAUACACCUGUCUCUUUUAGAUUGACUAGAAUUUUAUUUUUGGAUGAAAAAGUCCAGAUAUGAUUAAAAGACAAGAAGACCCUAUCGAGCUUUAGAAAAAUUAAUAGAGUUAGCUUAAAUCAAUAUAAGUAAAAGGAAGACUAUUAAGAUACUUUGGUUGGGGCAACCGAGGAGCAAAUAAAGCCUCCUUUUAAAUGGUAAGUCUUACCCGUGCUGAUCCAAACUUUUUGAUCAAAGGAAUUAGUUACCGUAGGGAUAACAGCAUUAUCUUUUUCAAGAGUCCAUAUCGAAAAAAAGGUUUGUGACCUCGAUGUUGGACCAGAAUAUCCUAAAGAUGCAGAAGUCUUUAAGGGUUGGUCUGUUCGACCAUUAAAAUUCUACGUGAUCUGAGUUCAGACCGGGACGUG
rnacentral:rRNA from 1 species